rnacentral:rRNA from 1 species
GUGAGGAAUAUUGGUCAAUGGCGGCAACGCUGAACCAGCCAAGUAGCGUGAGGGAUUACGGCCCUACGGGUCUUAAACCUCUUUUGUUGGGGAGCAACCUGUGCCACUUGUGGCACACUGCGAGUACCCUUCGAAUAAGCAUCGGCUAACUCCGUGCCAGCAGCCGCGGUAAUACGGAGGAUGCGAGCGUUAUCCGGAUUUAUUGGGUUUAAAGGGAGCGCGGACCGGAGAUUAAGUCAGCUGUUAAAUGGCGGCGCCCAACGCCGUCCUGCGGUUGAUACUGGUUUCCUUGAGUGCGGCAUGGGCAGGCGGAAUUCACGGUGUAGCGGUGAAAUGCUUAGAUAUCGUGAAGAACUCCGAUCGCGAAGGCAGCCUGCCGGACCGUUACUGACGUUUAGGCUCGAAAGUGCGGGUAUCAAACAGG